GUACAUUUUAAGUUUAUUUUUCCACAAAUUAAUAAUGUGCUGUCAGCCAGUGCACGCCUCUAUUCUUACCAAGUCAUGCGCCAAGACGUAUUCGAUAUUGUCAGAUAGCACGCUAUUGAAGACAGCAACAGCCGUCGCAUUGCUCCCAUCGCAGCGGAUACUUCAUUUUUAAUACGUGUCACUAACCGAAAGGUUCCAAUAUUUGCAAUAUUGAAAUGUCAGAUGUUGUCGUGUUGUUAAUGCAUUCCGAAUUUUGUAUUGUGUUAAAGUUCCUAUACCCUCUAUGCAUGAAGUCGACUAAAAGGCUAUACCAAAUGCAUGCGAAUGCAUGUAACAGUUAGCUGAAAAUCUAAAGCUUCAAAAUCGAAAAUCGUAAAUAAGUGUUUGUUUGGGUGUUUUGCAUAAAGGGUGUCUCCUGGUCGCAUUUGUGUGUGCAAAUAGUUCAAUUGCAAACGAACACGAUUUUGAGAACUCGAGUUUGAGCCGGAGACUCCAACUCAAGGGAAGGACAGCAGACAGCAGCAGGUGCAGCAGGUGUGACUGAAGGGUCUGUGACAAGGAAAGAAGCUCUAAAUAAUAUGAAAUAUUUGAAAUUUGAUAGCGCAUAGCUCAGCAAAUGAUCCGAACUGUUUGAUUUUCAAUGGCGUCGUCUGUUGUUGCCUGUUGACUUUGCAUUUGGAGUGCGGUCAAGCAUGUCUUUAAAUAAAAUUUGUGUGCUAUUGGGGAGUGCAAUCGGAUGACUGACUGAUGCGUAAGCAAAAACAUUUUCGUUCAAGUGAAAUUCAAUUGUUAUCGAAGCAGCAGACGUGGCACAGAUAGCCUUCGACAUUUGCCGGGCUGGAGCUAGCAGGAGUUAUAAACUGUUUUGGGGGUAGCUUAUCAUAAGCAAUAAAUGCUAAUGGCUGAGCUUUGCCUUUGGGGGCUUGCAUGGUCCUUGGGGAAAGCAUCCAUUAGUUGCAGUGGCGACCAUUCCCCUACCCCAAAAAAAUAAAAUAAAGUAAAAUAGACCAGCGAUGUCAACAAUAAUCCAGCAUCCAACUACCCCUCACAGCUGCGGCACAUAAUUCAACCCCUGCGGCUGCGCUCCAACAAAGGCCCAGCCAGAAGGUGGGCGAGCGGUAUGCGAGAUGGUGACAAGGACAUGCACUGAUUACGCAGCAUCACCGACUACUAUCCUGGCAAUGGUAAUAAAAUUCUCACUUCUGGAUAGAUUUUUGCAUUGUCGUUAGAGUAGAUAAUGUGUGUGUGUGUGGGGGACGGCCACGGUGACGGCGACGUCGACGGCCUCGGCUUCAUCUCCAUCUCCAUCUCCGGCUUCGCCUUCAGCCUUUUGCAUUGUUUGUCAGCGUCUGUCUGGCUUCGGAUGCUGCGGAUGUUGUUGUGAGUCAUAUUAAAAAGUAACGAGCAAAAUAUUAUGAAGCCAGACAAAGGCAUUUCCGGCACAGAGACGAACCAGAGCCAAAACCAGAACCAGAACCAAGAGCUACCAAUAUAUUGGAUUCACACGUUGUAAUGUGGGAGAGCACAUAUAUGGGGUAGGGGCGUUGGGGUCUUGUAUAUCGUUGUUCAUUCCCUGUUGUUGUAGUUGUUUGUUGGCUGCCCCUUUUCAUUUGGCCAGCAACAUGAUGUGCUACACAACAGCCCGCCAUUAUAUUAUAUUGUAUUUUUAGACCAGACAAGUCUGCAUUGCUGCAUGUGCCAUGUUCACUGUCUGCCGCUCUGUGUACUGUCUAUCCUGAUGAGCUGUUCAGAUAGCCCCUCGCCCUUUCCGUAUUGUUGUGCCAUUAUUAAUAACCAUAACUCAAAUCUAUUGCCGCUUUACUGCUCAUUGAAUCCUGUUUAUGACCAGAGUUUCGUCAGUUUUCCUCAGUUACUUUUUGAGUUUAUAUUAAAAAGUUUUGAUUUGACCGCCAACCGCUAGAUAAACAAAGCUUGUGUGAAGCAAGUUAGACCUGGGCGUGGCUACAGUAUUUUUGUCUAGUCUGGCGACUCUGUCUUGAAAGCUAUAAAUAUUAAGUGUAUAUUUUUUCUGUCCGAUCAUUUUUUCAUUAUAGCCAGUUCACAGCCGGAAUUCAAUUUUAUUUAAAUGAAACUCAGUUAAUGGGUAUAGAAAUCAAGGUUCACUUAGCGAACCCCAAGGCAGCACUUCGGUUCGAACCGUGAACCGAAUCAGCGAUUCUUUUUUGGAGCUUGCAGCCCUGUUAAUGGGGAGCAUAAAUGCUUUAAAGUUUUACUCAAAAUUAGUUACUAAUUAUGAACAGGAUCCUCUCUUUGGCGCUGAGAGCGAAAUCCUGGCAAAGUUGUUUGUAAACUUUUGGAAAAGCUGCUUGAAGGCCACUUUGAGUUGCUUUGGUUCAGUUAGUAAACUGUUGGCAUUUGGCUUAUCAUUCAAAGCUUCAGCUUUGAUAUGCGGCAAACGGGAACUGGCCUUUGCGCUAAGUUUUAAUUGUGCUCAUAUCUCAAGACCCGUUCAAGGCCCCUUUCCUGAAUGUGGAGCAGAGCCAAAGUUUUUGCCUGGCCAUUUGUGUGUGGCUCAAACUUUUUCGGGGGCUUACACACACAUACACACGCACACACACACAGUCGCAAAUUGCUCAACAAUCCAUGUUGCCAUUUUACAACACUUGAAAUUUCUUUGGACAUUUGCUUUUGGCUUAGACCCGGCAUCAUGUUGACUUUUACUUUAGCAAAUGGCAGCCGAGGCAGGGCCCCGCUCGACGGCGGGGCAGUGCAGUCCGGUUCGUAUAAUUUCAAUGUGGACUGUCGUAAAUAGCAUAAGAAGCAGAAGAAGAAGAAGAGCUGCCGGCGUUGAGAACGAUGAGUAUUUUCUUAAUUUUCUUGCGCUUCCUGCACAGCAAAGUUUUGCAAGCAAAGUGCGAGAGAGUUUUCUAGCUUUUCUAGCUGCAGCAGCUUUUCCGUUUGUCACGACAGACAAGACCCAACAUUAAAGUAUUAUGCAAGCGUAUUAAUGCACUCAACGGAACAGUGGCAGAGCAGCAGAAUCAGCAGAGCCAACAGGGCAGGGGCAGCAGGGGGAGAAAUAGUGUCCAGCUAGCUGGCAAUGUUGAUAAGCUGCAAGUCAAGUCUGGACUUUGAAUCGGACGCCGACUCGGACUUUUGAGCACUCACAGCGUGUGUCACACGGCCAAAGAAAAACAGUUGGCAAGAUGUGCAAAAGUUUUUCUUAAGCAGGAAAUAAUAUCUGAGGCGAGAAGCGUUGGCAAAUGCCACCUGCGACUGCAUAGGCUGCUAGAGUUUGAAAUUUUCCCCAACAUUUAUUGGUUAGCCAUCCAGCUGCAUUUAAUUUAAUUAAUCGAAGGCAAAGCCAACGGUAUUGAAGCCAAUUCCAAUUCCCUUGAGCGUCUAGUUUAGUCUGUCUGAGUCUGUCUGUUCAUGCUUUGUUGUCCUGUCAGCUGUCAAAUUGAAUUCUAGCACAUUAUGCUCAAUGGCACAGAACAGUCCCUCAGCAUUUAAUAUAUAUAUUUAUAUAUACACACCAUAUAAACACUCUCGUGUACUAUCAGCCGCACGCCGACUUCGAUUCCUUGGUGUAUUUCGAUUUGACACCAUAACUGAUGAUGCUCAGGCAAAAGGCGACGGGCAAGGCCUCUUUCUCUUUCUCUCUCUUUCUGUUUCUGCAUUAAACGUUCGCACAUUAACAUGAUGUAUGAUCCGGGUCCAGAGUUAAGCCCACCCCAGCCAUUAGCAACAGAAAUGGCCACUUAAUGGCAGUCGAGCUGCAAGUCGGGGAAGCGGCUGCCACUCUUAAAGCGAGUAUGUUUAAGUUUUCGUGGGCAAACGCGAGUUCCAACCAGUUGCCACCUCUCACCUGGCGCGUAAUCAAGUCAUGCUCAAACAAUUGCAGCUACGCCUCCACCAAAACAAACUACCACCCACCCACACAAAGACACCCACAGACACUUCACCCCAUACAAACACACACAAUGAAAACACAUUGAGCAAACACUUUAGCGCACGAUAUUCAUACACAAUUUACACAAUCCUACAAACGUGCUUGUGAGCUGUUUCCACUGUGCCACAUUUGGUGGCAAAUGUUACAUUAGGCUAAAGAACUGUUUAAUCGAAUGUUAAUUUUCAAUAAAUUUUGUAAUACUGUUUUUGAAA